CGGGUGAGUAACGCGUGAGGAACCUGCCUCAAAGAGGGGGACAACAGUUGGAAACGACUGCUAAUACCGCAUAAGCCCACGGCUCGGCAUCGAGCAGAGGGAAAAGGAGCAAUCCGCUUUGAGAUGGCCUCGCGUCCGAUUAGCUAGUUGGUGAGGUAACGGCCCACCAAGGCGACGAUCGAUAGCCGGACUGAGAGGUUGAACGGCCACAUUGGGACUGAGACACGGCCCAG
rnacentral:rRNA from 1 species